GCCCUCCUGGCGAAACUGGUAGACGCGCGGGAUUUAGGUUCCCGUGCCGCAAGGCGUGCCGGUUCGAGUCCGGCGGAGGGCACCA
rnacentral:tRNA from 1 species